rnacentral:rRNA from 1 species
UACGUAGGGGGCGAGCGUUGUCCGGAAUUACUGGGCGUAAAGCGCGCGUAGGCGGCUGGGUAAGUCGAUUGUGAAAGCCCCGGGCUCAACCUGGGAAUUGCAGUCGAUACUGCUCAGCUAGAGUGUGGGAGAGGGUGGUGGAAUUCCCGGUGUAGCGGUGAAAUGCGUAGAUAUCGGGAGGAACAUCAGUGGCGAAGGCGACCGCCUGGCCCAACACUGACGCUGAGGUGCGAAAGCGUGGGUAGCAAACAGG